CAGUCACAACAAUUUGACAAGACUCGGUAUCGGUGGUGAAUACAAGAUCCAAGUAGGUGCUGUUGGCGUUCGGCAAAUCGCAAAUUUGCAUCAGUGCAGCUGACAGCAAACCAUCAACAAUGGCAGCUUCACUCUGAGGAGUAAUUCGAUCAGUUUGGCAGGUUGAAAUCCCCACAAACGACGACCGUAUCAUUCGGACCAGCGGCUUCAACCAUAGACUCAACAAAAAACGACGAACGAAUCGUAACGACGAGUGUUAGAGCUCGGGCAAACUCCGUGCUGGCGAUUCGACGAUGGAUGGCAACAAGUGCACCACCACCAGUUAGUUUGUCACUGUUGACCGAACUUCGAUCGCAGCGGUAAACGGAAAAACAAGCGGGAAACAACAUACCAUCCUGUACGUCAGAGUCCAAGUAAGUUUCAACCAUUGCGUAUGCAUCGUAGUCCAACUCCAGUGAUGACAAAUACAAGUGUUUUUGCCUUUGGACACCUUUAAUACUGUGCAUGUUGAAGUUUCAAGUUUCUUACUGUUAACGUCGUUAAGAUUCGUUAAAAUUUUCAUCUUAUUUUAAUUCCAAGUUUUUGAUUUGUUUUUUUUUUAUUUAUCAUUGUUUAUCUGUUGGCACCUAAACUUGUUUUAUUUUCCACAUGAUAACGAUCUAAGAUUUCUACUCAUUUUAUAUUUUCAAUUAGAUGACAUCCAUAAAUUACGCAAUGCAAAAAACAAUUUAACCCCCACCCUCAUAUGUAACAAAAUUCAGCCCAAAACAACAUAGACCAGAGAAGCAGAUAUUUCAAGGUGUAGUAAAGAGGGCAAUGUAUGUAGUUUGACGAGAAUGCGAAAAAUGAACAAAGACAGGUGGGAUAUAGCCUUUAAAAAAAUGUUGCUCAUCCAGACGGGACUGCAACCCGUCAUCUCUGAUGUCUCCCGUGAGGUGUUGAAAUUUCUUUAAUGUAUAAAGAAAGCAUACAAAAGUUUAUGCUGAAAACAUUUCUAAAAUCCAGAAGAUGUCGAAAACAAAUGAACUUGAAUAUAAUUUUAAAUGACUAAAAUAACGUUCAAUGAAAAAACUAAAAAUCUAGAAAUGUAUCGAAGGUAAGAACAAAUUCAAGAGAAAAGGAGUUAUAAAAUUUCCUCGAAACGGUUCGAACCUAUUGUAAAUAAAAAGUGAGUUCUAGUUUUAAGUCCAACUGAAAAAAACUUUUGAAAGGCAGUUAAAACCAGAAACGAAAAUAAUA